rnacentral:lncRNA from 1 species
CUCAGAGAAAGCUUUGGACUAUAAGGAAGAAGCAGCAAAAAUUCUGCAGAGCUCAAAGACUGAGGAUGACCUUAUAGAAAAGUACAGGCAAAAAUGGAGAGAAGGGGAAAAGCCCAACACUUUUAGCCUCUGAGGAUCCUAAUGGCCUUAUCCACUGCUGCCGCUCACAGAUCUCCAUACUCUUGACUACAGAAGAACCCCCAGCAGUUGCACUGAUGCUGACCUCAGCUGUGGGGGUUGCAUUACAUCACUGUGCCUUCUUGGCCCCAAAGACACUGCAUACCAUCCAGCUGGUAUUCUUGCAGCUACCUUCAGGAAUUUUGUGUUCAUGUUACAAAGAGCCACAGCGAGAGAGGGAACAGAAGCAAGGGCAGUAGCAGUGGG